rnacentral:rRNA from 1 species
AUGAAGUCGGAAUUGCUAGUAAUCGCGGAUCAGCAUGCCGCGGUGAAUACGUUCCCGGGCCUUGUACACACCGCCCGUCACACCAUGAGAGUCGGUAACACCCGAAGUCCGUAGCCUAACCGCAAGGGGGGCGCGGCCGAAGGUGGGAUUGAUGAUUAGGGUGAAGUCGUAACAAGGUAUC